UACGGAGGGUGCUAGCGUUGUCCGGAAUCACUGGGCGUAAAGGGCGCGUAGGCGGCAGGCCAAGCGUGCGGUGAAAGUCCGGGGCUCAACCCCGGAUCUGCCGUGCGGACUGGUUUGCUAGAGCACUGUAGAGGCGAGUGGAAUUCCGGGUGUAGCGGUGGAAUGCGUAGAUAUCAGGAAGAACAUCGGUGGCGAAGGCGCUCUGCUGGACCAUAACUGACACUCAGGGACGAAAGCUAGGGGAGCGAAUGGG
rnacentral:rRNA from 1 species